UCCGUUGUUGUCUAGUGGUUAGGAUAUCUGGCUUUUACCCAGGAGAUUUGGGUUCAAUUCUCGGCAACGGAA